UCCGAGUUGUAAUUUGCAGAGGAUGCUUCGGGUGCGGUCCCCGUCUAAGUGCCCUGGAACGGGCCGUCAUAGAGGGUGAGAAUCCCGUCUGGGAUGGGCGGCCGCGCCCGUGUGAAGCUCCUUCGACGAGUCGAGUUGUUUGGGAAUGCAGCUCUAAGCGGGUGGUAAAUUUCAUCUAAAGCUAAAUACUGGCCGGAGACCGAUAGCGCACAAGUAGAGUGAUCGAAAGAUGAAAAGCACUUUGAAAAGAGAGUUAAAUAGCACGUGAAAUUGUUGAAAGGGAAGCGUUGUCCACCAGACUCGCCCGGGGGGGCUCAGCCGGCACGUGUGCCGGUGUACUCCUCUCCGGGCGGGCCAGCAUCGGUUUGGGCGGCUGGUGAAAGGCCCCGGGAAUGUACCACCCUCCGGGGUGUCUUAUAGCCCGGGGUGCCAUGCAGCCAGCCUGGACCGAGGNCCGCGCUUCGGCGAGGAUGCUGGCGUAAUGGUGGUCAACGGCCCGUCUUGAAA
rnacentral:rRNA from 1 species